rnacentral:rRNA from 1 species
UACGGGAGGCAGCAGGUGGGGAAUAUUGCACAAUGGGCGCAAGCCUGAUGCAGCCAUGCCGCGUGUAUGAAGAAGGCCUUCGGGUUGUAAAGUACUUUCAGUCGUGAGGAAGGUGUUAAGGUUAAUAACCUUAGCAAUUGACGUUAGCGACAGAAGAAGCACCGGCUAACUCCGUGCCAGCAGCCGCGGUAAUACGGAGGGUGCGAGCGUUAAUCGGAAUUACUGGGCGUAAAGGGCACGCAGGCGGUUAAUUAAGUUGGAUGUGAAAUCCCCGGGCUUAACCUGGGAAUGGCAUUCAAGACUGGUUAGCUAGAGUCUUGUAGAGGGGGUAGAAUUCCAUGUGUAGCGGUGAAAUGCGUAGAGAUGUGGAGGAAUACCGGUGGCGAAGGCGGCCCCCUGGACAAAGGACUGACGCUCAUGUGCGAAAGCGUGGGGAGCAAACAGGAUUAGAUACC